rnacentral:rRNA from 1 species
UACGGAGGGAGCUAGCGUUGUUCGGAAUUACUGGGCGUAAAGCGCACGUAGGCGGCUUUGUAAGUUAGAGGUGAAAGCCCGGGGCUCAACUCCGGAACUGCCUUUAAGACUGCUGGUCUUGAGUUCGAGAGAGGUGAGUGGAAUUCCGAGUGUAGAGGUGAAAUUCGUAGAUAUUCGGAGGAACACCAGUGGCGAAGGCGGCUCACUGGCUCGACACUGACGCUGAGGUGCGAAAGCGUGGGGAGCAAACAGG